CCGAUUAUUGAUCGUCGCCGACCAAUUCUUAUCUCGGCAACAUCCAGUUGGUAGCUCAAUUCAAAAUUCAAGCGCCUGUUAGACAACAACUGUCACAAAAUUGAUAAGGCAACCAUGACAGCCACAUCCCAAAAAUCUCGAGCAAUAGUCUCACCACCAUGUGCAAAUCGUAUCCUAAUCGAGCAGGAUUGUGCCAACUAACCUAUUAACUGAAGCUUCAACCCUCCAC
rnacentral:lncRNA from 1 species